UGACCAGGUACCACCUCACCCAUGGGCGGCCAGUGGCCGUGUGUCCCUGGAGCUGAGCUCCCGGUGCUGAGCCUGCCACCUCUCCCCUGACAGCUGCUCUCUCCCCGAGCGACGGAGAUAGCUGAAGUUCUGGAGAAGGCCAACAGCUGCUACUGGCCAAUGCUCCAGAGCUUGCUCAGGGAUGUCAGUGCCGGCCUGGAGGAAGCCAAGGACGUCGGCCUCCACCUGCAACAGCUUCGGAUCCUGUUGGAAAAGUUGGAGCAGGCAAAUUACUUGCAGCUGCAGCCCUGCCUGGACAGGGUGC